GCUGCUCGGAGCGUCGGCUCCACUACCGCCGUCUUGUUCUGACGAUAUACGGAACUUGAAAUUUGUCCCUGCACUCCUUGGCCGCUGUUGGGUGCGGGCCACCGCACAACGUGAAUUUCGGGUCGCACUGGUGACCUUUCGCCGGCGAUCGUUUGGCGCAGUUGCGACACCACUUGCUGCUCGGGUUGGGGCACACGUCAGCCCGGUGUCCCAGUCCUCCGCAACCGUAGCAGACUUCCGUGUGGCGUCGGUAGAGCGUGCAGCGAAAUAUGCUCGCGCCGCAUGCCACGCGGUUGGGCACCCUCAUGCCCUCGAAAAGCACCACUACCACUGUGGUGUUCUUGUUUCGCCUGCCCUCGAAAGCGCCCGGAUUCCGGUGAUUUACGAUUCUCGCUCUGAGUUCAGCCUCGCUGACUUCCUGGUCGACUCCUCUUAUGACUCCGUUACACGUAUUCUCGGUUGGGGCCAGGUACGGCGCUACGCUAAACGUGCCUUCGCCGAGCCUGAUUUGCUGCACUCGGGCGUACGCGUCCGCGUUUUUCUCGUGCGGAGUGCAUGCCACUGCCGGUGACCCAUGCAGGCAUCAAGGAGUUGCUUCGAAAAGUGGCUCCUGCCCAGUCUGAUAUCUACAGUGACCAACCGCAGCAGCUGGAUGCACUACCAAUUCAACCACUAACCCAGUGCCCGAGGUGGACGGGAGAACAGACACAAGAAUGCUUUGAGAGAUACUCGUCUCCCGGAAUGUGCCCAAAGUACUAUAACAUUGCCAAUUCAUUAUAGCAAUAUUUUGACGAAUGAGGUGUUUAUCUUUUAUCUUCCAAUUUACAUCGCAUUUAUAUGAGCCAAACAAAGCUUCGGGUAUAAACACGCUCCAGCUGGCGCGGCACUCUUUCUAAGGUAAGGUCGCGGCCAGCGCUGUUUUCGAGCAAGCUGGUAACAAGUUGCAGGGGCUCCCACUCAGUAAUCAUGGCUCAAGCCUUCAUUCCAGCAGUGCAAUAGGUUGCAGAUGCUUCAACCAGCCCUUUCAAUUUGUAUUUCUGCAGCAAUAAGAUUGGUAUAAACGUACACCUCUAUAGACUGCUACACCAGAAAAUUGUAUUAUUACUGUCGAAACUGCAUAUUUCGGCUUUGCUGGAACACCUGCAUCGCAGUUUCACGGAAACAAGGUAGAACUUUUCGCUCUUGUUGACUUCCUUGUUAGAGGGAACAGCUUCAUAAACUUCAGGAAAAACUUCAUAAAACUUCAUAAAAUACAGUGGGGCUUAACUAGAUUUUUUUAUUACCGAACGGUUUUACGCUCCGACAGUACUAAAGUAUUUAUUCACAAGGUGGUAAGACAAUGUUGCUCUAUAGUUAUAUAUUGUAGAAAACAUGACAUAUUCUACGUUAAUUAUCUAUCGAGACCAUUGCACAACUUUAUGAGCAUAGCUGGAAUCGUCAUGUUCUCACAGGCUUGCUAAGACCACCUCAAAGACUUGGCAUUUGUUAAUUUGUGAUGCUCUGCGGUGAUGUACCUUCCUAGCAACAAUUGCGGCUAUGUUCCUUUUGUUUUGUUUUCGCGCCACCGACAUUAGAAGCAAAGGGUGUCAGCAAAAAAGAUUUUGGGACGUCUCACUUAGGCGAGUCUGACUAAUGACAAUGCGCAUCGCACCACAACGGUGUAGUCUGGUUUAAAUUCUCGUUUUUGCAGCUAUACAAACUAAACAUCCGCGUAGCUGAGUGACCGACUAUGUUUCGUCCAUAACUAUAAAAAGAGGUGCAUAUUGCACUAACAAAUGCAAAGAGCGGCUAGUACCAGUGGCACAUAUCGGUACAUUUGCGCUUGUCGUCUGAAUUUCAAAAUAAAAAAUAGACGUUUCGAAGACGUUCACGACUCAAUAUACCUGUUGUACAAAAGUAAGCCUCGGUUCCAGAGCCACAUAAGUAAUAAUAAUAUUUGCUUGCUAAAUAUUUGCCUACUGGCACAGUAAACAAGAUGCGCCGUCACUUUGUCUCUUUAAAGCAUUAAAGGUUUGGUAGCGUGAAUAACUGUCUACGUGUAUUUCGCGCAUGUUUUACAUAGGAAUGAUUGGUAGCACAUAUAAAGCAGCGUUCCUUUUAAACGUUGCUGUUUUCUGCGCGCUUUUACGAUUUCCUGCUUUUAUCGUCAACAAAUACGUUAUUUUAGGGAUGUUCACCUCAGGAGCAGAAAACCUACUUGUAAGAGUAAUAAAUCUUUUGAAAAUUACCUACAUUUAUCAGGAAGAAAAGUAAGAGCAUAGGUUGCCCACGUAAAUUUCAUGCGUCACGUGUGUGAUGAAAUGGAGUGGCUUUGAUACUCAUGUAUCUAAAGUCAGUAUCGCAUGCGUGCGUCAGUUUAGUUAAAUGGCGAACCUAAAAUUGUCAUAGACAUUACCGUGUAUCUCUGAAGACAUAUCACCACUAUUGUGUCAUCCCGUGACUUCGUUUCCGUUCAUGUAUCACUGAUUUUAUGAUUAAAACCACGGAUUACUCGCAAUUUGUGAAUACUAUAGUUCAACGUUCGUGUUAACUCAGAAAGAAGAGUCAAGCACUGAUUGGAAGAAGGGAAUGAGCAUUUUCUGGACACCACGGAGUCAUGAAAGUAAUUGUGUGGUAAUUAUUGCUGAAGGCAAUCAUCACAUAGUAUACAAUGUAGAUAAACUUAUUUGAUGCUUCACGGACGUGGGGCUAGACAAUAAGGCGGAGUUAUUAGCCAUAUCUUGACAAAAUAAAUGGAAGUUCUGUGGUAACCUAUCCUGGUCAUUUCGAUAGAAACCGUCAUUGCUAUCAAAUUAUGCACAUUGACCUUUAGCAUUAUAAAGCUCAAUGAUUUAGAGUUUAUUGCUGAUCCAUCGCAAGCAUGCAAGAGUCCCUGAGAUCUUGUGGACUUACCGUUUGACGAGUACCUCCUCCCAUAGACAGACUUAUGAUGCUCAGCGCAAGCACUAAAGUUUUCAGAUAAUGAGCCAUGACUUAACUCUACAAACCUGACUGUGCUUUUUCCACUAGCUUUACAGAGCGUAUUUAUUGUCCCUUUCGUGAGUCACUACAAGCGCAUAAAUGUUCUGAAGACUAAGAAACGAUUUUCGAGCGCCAUGGAGGCCAAGUGCUUCAUCAUUUCUCGAUGUACUUGUUGUUUAUUUUUGCUUUCGCUAGACAUAAGAUGUCUUCAGUUAUCAUUUCUGGAGCUUCAACAGUCUCAUUGCUUUUUUAUUUGUUUUGACAUUGCGAAAAUUCGCAAUAGGUAAACAAGUGUAUGUGUUUGAGCCUUUGCCCUACCAUUAAACCAAAGAACAUCUUUCGUGCGCAUAUUCGCAGAUAUAAUGUUGGUUUUUUGUGUUAAUGAAAAUGUAAAGAUUAGCAAGCGCAUUUCUUAGACAGGUUCUAAAUUUGGAAUACAUGUUUUCUAUUUUGUAUCGUAUUAGAAUAAAGGAGUAUAACUUUC